rnacentral:rRNA from 1 species
GACGAACCGUGCAAACGUUGUUCGGAAUCACUGGGCUUAAAGGGCGCGUAGGCGGCUUGCCAAGUCGGGGGUGAAAUCUUUCGGCUUAACCGGAAAAGUGCCUUCGAUACUGGCAGGCUUGAGGAAGGUAGGGGCAGAUUGAACUUCCAGUGGAGCGGUGAAAUGUGUUGAUAUUGGAAGGAACGCCGGUGGCGAAAGCGAUCUGCUGGAUCUUCGCUGACGCUGAGGCGCGAAAGCUAGGGGAGCAAACGGG